rnacentral:rRNA from 1 species
AACGAACGCUGGCGGCAGGCCUAACACAUGCAAGUCGAGCGAGGACUUCGGUCCUAGCGGCGGACGGGUGAGUAACGCGUGGGAACGUGCCCUUUGCUUCGGAAUAGCCCUGGGAAACUGGGAGUAAUACCGGAUGAGCCCUUUGGGGGAAAGAUUUAUCGGCGAAGGAUCGGCCCGCGUUGGAUUAGGUAGUUGGUGGGGUAAUGGCCUACCAAGCCGACGACCCAUAGCUGGUUUGAGAGGAUGAUCAGCCACACUGGGACUGAGACACGGCCCAGACUCCUACGGGAGGCAGCAGUGGGGAAUCUUAGACAAUGGGGGAAACCCUGAUCUAGCCAUGCCGCGUGAGCGAUGAAGGCCUUAGGGUUGUAAAGCUCUUUCAGCUGGGAAGAUAAUGACGGUACCAGCAGAAGAAGCCCCGGCUAACUCCGUG